rnacentral:ncRNA from 1 species
AGUAUCUGCCGCGCUAGUGGUUCACCGGCUCGGCUCAACCGGGCCGGUGAGGCAAGAGGGAACCCGGUGGGAAUCCGGGACUGCCCCGCAGCGGUGAGUGGGAACGAAAGCCGUCAACGAAGCACUGGGUCGCGAGACCUGGGAAGCGACGGCCGGUAGGCGCCAGAGGUACGCCCACGAGUCCGAAGACCUGCCAUUGGUGUGCGCGCAAG